rnacentral:rRNA from 1 species
GGUUUCUUGAAUUAUUUAAGAGAUUUAACCUGCCCACUGAAUAUAAUUUUAAGGGCCGCAGUAUUUUGACUGUGCAAAGGUAGCAUAAUCAUUAGUCUUUUAAUUGAAGGCUUGUAUGAAUGGUUGGACGAGGUGAAUACUAUUUUAUAUUAAUUUAUAUUGAAUUUAGAUUUUAAGUAAAAAUACUUAAAUUUUAUUAAGGGACGAGAAGACCCUAUAGAGUUUAAUAUAUGUAAUUUUAAUUGAGUUAAUAAGUAAUUUUUGGUUAAUUAUAAAGUAUAUUUAAUUGGGGUGAUUUAAAGAUAUUAAAAACUCUUUUUUAAAGUGAAUCAUAAUAAUGAACUUAUUGAUCCAUUACUUAGUGAUUAUAAGAUUAAAUUACCUUAGGGAUAACAGCAUAAUUCUUUUUGAGAGUUCAUAUCGAGAAAGGAGAUUGUGACCUCGAUGUUGGAUUAAGAUAAAUUUUAGGUGUAGAUGUUUAAAUUUUAGGUCUGUUCGACCUUUAAAUUCUUACA